AUGUAUUUAAGGCACACUAUCGCAAAAUCUGGCUAUCAAAUGUUGCAAGUAAUGAGGUUUGCUGUUGAGGAGAUUAAUAAUUCCACAACCCUUUUGCCCAAUGUUUCUCUGGGCUAUGAAAUUUUUGAUCAUUGUUCUACCACAAGGAAUUUCUAUUCAGUCUUAAGUUUCAUCUCAAAGAAUGGCUCAAUAAAACCUAAAGAAAAACUCAACAACUAUCAGCCUAAAGUGAUUGCUUUAACAGGACCAUUUGGAAGCUCAAGAAUUAUGGCUGUUGCACCACUUAUCACAAUGGACCUUAUGCCACUGGUGAAUUAUGGAGCUCCUAGCUAUGUGUUCAGCGAUAAACUUAAUUAUCCUUCUCAUGUAAGAACAAUUCCUAGCAACAAAGACCUGAUAGACAUGAUUAUUCACAUCAUACAGUGGUUUGGAUGGAACUGGGUUGCCUAUCUUGGUAACCCAGACAGUUACAGUUCAGAUGGACUAAUUAUGUUUAGCAAAAAUAUAAGAAAUACUGGCAUUUGUUUGGCCUAUCAAGACGGUCUGAAACUAAAUGCAAACUAUAGUCGAAUAUUUAAAAAGAUUGAUGAGCUUAACAUCAAUGUCAUUGUAAUUUUUGCUAUGCCACAAUAUGCAAUCAAAACGAUCAAAGCAGCCAUAGCACACAACGUCCGAGACAAAGUAUGGAUUGCAAGUCACCACUGGUCUAUGAAUAAACAGCUUCCAAGAGAGCCAGGAAUUGGGAAAAUUGGGACAGUCAUUGGCAUUACAGAGAAUCUGUUGUCAUUGCCUGGAUUUAAUGAAUUUGUCUAUAAAGCCAGAGGAACAACUAAUGUUGGCCAUAAUGAUGGAGCUGAGAGUAAAGUCCAGGGGAAGAGUAAGACAUGUAAUCAAGAUUGUGAUUACUGUUCAUUUUUGACCGCAGAGGAGAUUAUAAAUGAAGAUCGCUCACUCUCCUUUGGCAUCUAUUCUGGCAUAUAUACUAUAGCUCAUGCAUUACAUAAAGUUCUGCAGUGCAACAUGAAUGAAUGCCACAAAAAUACAAUGGUCAAGCCAUACAUGCUUCUGGAAGAAAUAAAGAAGUUGGAUUUUGUACUCAAUGACCGUAACAUUAAAUACGAUGAUCAGUUUGAUCCACCCACCAAUUAUGCAGUUGUGCACUGGCGCACUGAUUUGAAUCCUCCACAGUUUGAGAUGGUGGGCUCAUAUGAGAAACAUCCAGAAAUUACAUUCACCAUAGACAACUCUCUCCUUCACUGGCAUAAGAAUAGUUCUGUUCCUUUCUCAAACUGCUCUGUUGAGUGUAAAGCGGGAUAUUCAAGGAAACGUGAAGGUUUUCAUAGUUGCUGCUUUUCAUGUGAAAAAUGUCCACGUAACACCUAUGUGGAUUUUUCUCACACGCCACACAUCACUAUGUUUUAUGGCCAAAUCUUCACCUCUAAAUGAAACACAUUAGCCAAGAUAUGGCUCGCAGCCCAUUGGGAGAAGAAAAUAACCAAAGCACACGUGUUGGAAUGUGACCUAGAGACCACCAUAAAGGAGAUCUUAUCACCCCAGAUGAAAGUUGGUCUGUGAACUUCAGGUCACCUUCUUUUAGGAGUUGUCCGGAUAUACUCAAAGAAGACCAAAUACCUUCUUGCAGACUGCAGUGAUGCAUUGGUCAAAAUUAAAGUGGCUUUCAGACCAGGCCUUAGGUGUCAGGAUGUUUACGAUGAAGACUAUCCAGCGAGAAUGACGCAGAACCACCUUCCACUAGAGGCCUUCGGCCUGAGAGCGCCACUCUGA